CUCAAAUCAAUGGUUUCUGUAGCAACUAGAACUAAUGAAGACAAUUUUUCUUUCGUGGCUCCUAUUGUGAAUAGUUCUUGUGGAUUACUUGUUUUGCAUAUUUACUUGUUUAAAGGGAGGGAAUAAGAAGGGUAUAUAGUCACAUUAGUUACAUGCAUGGUUUUAAAAAAAUUACAAAAAACAUAACGGGUUCGUCAAAUUUCAUGUAGAGCACAUUAAUUACUACUACUGAUUCUCUUUAUUCUAGUAGACUACAAUGCAUUUUGUAUGUAUCUAAAUCAAAUUGGUUGUUUCAGAAUAAGACAAUGCAAAUGAUGUAUGAGACAAUUUACAAGGCACUUGUUGAAGCUGGGCUCGAAGGUGCUUAAUUACUCACCCAAGGAUUAUUUAAACUUCUUCUGUCUUGGCAACCGUGAGGACUUGGAUGGAAAUAACAGUGGCAUGGAAAGUCCUACUGCAGCAAACAGUCCUCAGGCACUGAGUAGGAAAAAUCGAAGAUUUAUGAUUUAUGUUCACUCAAAAGGCAUGAUAGUUAAUGACGAGUAUGUAAUCAUUGGAUCUGCCAACAUCAAUCAACCCUCUAUGAAAGGCACUAGAGACACUGAAAUCGCAAUGGGAGUUUACCAGCCCCAUCAUACCUAGGCACGGAAAUUUCGCAAUCCUCUUGGACAGAUAUACGGUUAUAGGAUGUCAUUGUGGACAGAGCAUAUGGGAACUAUCGACGAUUGCUUCACACAACCAGAGUGCAUUGAUUGUGUGAAAAAAGUAAGAUCAAUGGGGGAGAUGAACUGGAAACAGUUUGCUGCAGAUGAGGUAACAGAGAUGAGAGGACAUCUUCUCAAGUACCCAGUUGAAGUUGAUCGAAAAGGCAAGGUGAGGUCCCUUCUUGGACAUGAAAAUUUCCCAGAUGCAGGAGGAAAUAUAGUCGGCUCAUUUGUUGCUAUUCAGGAAAAUCUCACCAUAUGAUUCUGCUAUUUUUUACUGGCCAACUCAAACAAUGAGAAAUGGAUAUUCAAACACAAAUUAUAGUGCUAAAUUGUUUUGUUUUGCGUCAGAAAAUUAUAGUGGUGUGUAUGGUCUUUUGCUAACUCGUGUAACAUAGCAUAGAGUUUACUUGCA